rnacentral:rRNA from 1 species
AUUGAACGCUGGCGGAAUGCUUUACACAUGCAAGUCGAGCGGCAGCACGGGGGCAACCCUGGUGGCGAGCGGCGAACGGGUGAGUAAUACAUCGGAACAUGCCCAGUCGUGGGGGAUAACACUUCGAAAGAAGUGCUAAUACCGCAUACGUCCUGAGGGGGAAAGCGGGGGAUCGCAAGACCUCGCGCGAUUGGAGUGGCCGAUGUCAGAUUAGCUAGUUGGUGGGGUAAAGGCCCACCAAGGCAACGAUCUGUAGCUGGUCUGAGAGGAUGAUCAGCCACACUGGGACUGAGACACGGCCCAGACUCCUACGGGAGGCAGCAGUGGGGAAUUUUGGACAAUGGGGGCAACCCUGAUCCAGCCAUUCCGCGUGAGUGAAGAAGGCCUUCGGGUUGUAAAGCUCUUUCGGCAGGAACGAAACGGUGAGCUCUAACAUAGCUUGCUAAUGACGGUACCUGAAGAAGAAGCACCGGCUAACUACGUG